GGCGAACGCUGGCGGUAGGCCUAACACAUGCAAGUCGAACGGCAGCACAGUAAGAGCUUGCUCUUACGGGUGGCGAGUGGCGGACGGGUGAGGAAUACAUCGGAAUCUACUUUUUCGUGGGGGAUAACGUAGGGAAACUUACGCUAAUACCGCAUACGACCUACGGGUGAAAGCAGGGGAUCUUCGGACCUUGCGCGAUUGAAUGAGCCGAUGUCGGAUUAGCUAGUUGGCGGGGUAAAGGCCCACCAAGGCGACGAUCCGUAGCUGGUCUGAGAGGAUGAUCAGCCACACUGGAACUGAGACACGGUCCAGACUCCUACGGGAGGCAGCAGUGGGGAAUAUUGGACAAUGGGCGCAAGCCUGAUCCAGCCAUCCCGCGUGGGUGAAGAAGGCCUUCGGGUUGUAAAGCCCUUUUGUUGGGAAAGAAAAGCAGCAGGUUAAUACCCCGCUGUUCUGACGGUACCCAAAGAAUAAGCACCGGCUAACUUCGUG
rnacentral:rRNA from 1 species